GCCGCCUGCUUCGCCCCUAUUGCAAGCAAAAGCAGAGGCGGUGUGGUUUGUCUUGCUUGUUCGAUUGGGCUUUGAUGCUUGCGGUGCUGACUGACACAGUGUUCGUUUCCCACACGCUUUGAUCUGAUGACAAUUUAGCACCUCGCUGUGGAAUGCGUCCAAGUGGGAGAGCAAUUCAAUAUCGAAGACCGGCGACUUUGCGAGACCCAAAAAUAUACACUCGAUGGAGAUAUUAGAAUGCGUAGACGAAAAUAUUACUUAUUGUAAGCAUGUAGUGAAACGAAUCAAAAAGUAGUGGUAAGGAAUCACCGAGGAGUCAUUAAAAUUGUUUCACGCAUACGGCCAAAAAAAGGGAAACACACAAUCAUGUUUUGGUACCAGUAACUACUAGUCUUGGAUACCGACUCCUUUACAUGAGAACCACACGGAGCAUCGAAAUAAAUGAGCAUAGGAACUGCAGCAAUAAUGUUACAUGUAUCAUCAACUUUUAACACGAACCUUCCGUUCCAUCCUUCAUCUCUCACACACACUGGAAAGCUAAUACGGUUCAUCGUCGGGCUUCGUCAAGUACUUCUUUCAGCAUGGCAUAAACAAAAACAAGGUGAACUUCAUGUACAUCACAUUUCUUGCUUCAAGAAUUCUAAAACUCGGUUUACUCGAUGCACAUCUUUAGUAUUGUUGGAUAGUGGUAGUAACAUUCAGGCACCAUAUUUUCUGACGCAGAUUUACAGGGCAUAGAUGCGAUGGUCGAACCAGAAACACAUUCAUGCCACCAGCCGAACAAGACAAACCUAUAAUGGGUCUGGAAAUCGGAGAUCAGCUGGUCCAGGGCCUAGGAUGCCCUUGUCAUGCUCUCCAAGGACGGUGCCGGGAACAAGGUUCGUGUCUGUUUGCCCAUUUCUAUCUUCUUCUGUAGGAGCCGGCUGUCUCCAGCUGCCCCCUAACCAUUCGUGCUGCUAAUAAGAUGAAUAAUACAGGGUUAAGGAACAUAAGACUCUGUCCAACAAAGUCAGAAAAGGCUAUAUAGUUCAAUUUAGAACAUCACGACUUACUUCUUCAUGACUGUAAUUUCCAUCAAGCAACAUAGGGGUCACGACGGGUGGGACGACAUCUG
rnacentral:lncRNA from 1 species